GAUGUGCUCCCAUAAGAAAUUUAACAUUAAAGCACAAAAAUGAACUCGUUAGAGGCAUCUAUUGCUGGGAACUUCAGUAUCAAUGGUGAAUUGAAGAUACUGUGUUUCGUUACCAACUCUUCUGCACCCUACGUCUGACUCCUCCUUGAAGACUAGAGCAUGGGCAUUUUUUUCUUUUUCCUUAAGGGUUUAAUCCUCAUAUAGCACCUCUAAUACCUUUUAUGACAUUUGAGUGCUUCUGGAUAGUAAACUGUGUGCCUUUGACUAAAUUGACCAGGAGCCUAGGGGAGGGAGGAGGUGAGUAGUUUACAUUUAAAUGCUCCACAUAUCAACCCAUCUUUCUUUCUUAGAGUUUUAACCCAUGGCUAGUUACUCUUUCUUGUAUAAUGCCAAUAAACUUCCUUUCUAUAAGUAGCUUAGCAAAGCCUUUGUUUUUACCACGAUAGGGACCAUUAUUUGUUUAUUAAAUAGUGAUACUGUUUCACUCAUACAAUUUCGUCUGUGUUUCCAGAGAAGAUGAGGUUUCGGGGUUUAGGCUUUUUAGGUCUCAUAACCCUUCUUUACAUCAAUCAUCCAUCUGAACAAAAAAAAUAAUUGUAGCCUCCCCUUUGGGGAAACUAUAUAGUUUAAUUAGUGUUUUCUAAUAACUUGCAAAUCCUUAGAGAAAAGUUAUAAUAGAAGCAUAAGAAAUUAUCUUUGAGGUUAGUUUAUUAUUGUUCCUAUUAUUAUCAUUAUUACUAUAUGGGACUAGUUUUUUUUUUAAAUUGACUACUUGAAAAUGUGUUUCAGAUCUCAUGGAGUGAAAUUUACCUUUAAUUUACCUUAGAGCUCAAAUAAGAGCAUACAGAAUAUAAAAAUGUGGAACACUAAUUUCUUUAAAAUACCUGACCCUGUUAAUGGCCAGGAGUGUUAACUUUGUCACCUGGAAGAAGAUCCUGUCCUAGAAAAUGUUAGAAUGAAAACCUUAAUCAUCUCCUCUCAAAGGGUCAUUGAGGAAGCUGGGCUUGAGUGUGUGCAGCUGUUCUUCAAUAAUGUUAUAUCAUUCUGAACCAAUUAUCAUCCUUAACCCAGAUUUGCUUUGAAUCUCUGUGGCAUCUUGACUACUGUCUAUAACAACAGUGAUUGCCAGACCCUGCCUGAUGCUCAGGUUUGUAUCAACCCUCUACUUCUCCUCACAGUAGGUAAGAGUUUCUUGGUGUUCUGUUCCUUACCCAGGCUUGAGGAAUAGUCCUACUUUUUGCCAUGAUGCCUUGCCGCAGUUUUUGCUCUUCCCUUGUGCUGUUGUUCUCUUUGUCAUGCAGGUUUCCCAGUAUCUUAGUAAAAGCUGUGAACAAUUCCUAUCACCUUUUCAAACCUUCCUUCCAAGAAGUAGGGGAUGGAGGGGGUUCCUGAUCUUGCCACAGGUGGGUGCCACAUGUAAGGACCCACUGGUUCCUCAUGAGAUUCUUUGAGAGAGUCUGAAGCUCGAUUGUCUGGGUUAAAAGUCUGGUGCUGUCACCUGCUUUCUGAAUGACUUUAAGCAAGUUAUUUGACUUCUCUUUGCCUCAGUUUCCUGCCUAUAAAAUGAAGAUAAUAGCACCUGUCUUAUCAAGGUUCUUAGAGAAGAUUAGAUGCAUUAACACAUGUAAAGCACUUAGAACACUUUAAGUCACAUAGUAAACAUUAAUAAAUAUCAGUCGCUAACAGCUUUUGUUUCUGCUCUAUUACCAUUUUACUAUCUCAUCUCUCUCAUAUCCCACAACACCAAGCCAAACCCUUUGGCUCUUGAUAGAUUUAUUAUUCUUAAUGUUUGAGCCCUACUAUUUGCUAUUGCUUCCCUUUUUAAUCCUAUACACUAAUGUGUGAAAUUGAAAUAAAAAGCAGAAUUGAGGCCAGGCACAGCAGCUUGUGCCUGUAAUUCCAGUGCUUUGGGAGGCCAAAGUGGAAGGAUCACUUAAGCAUAGGAGUUCGAGGCUGCAGUGGACUAUGAUAGCACCACUGGUCUCCAGCUUAGGUGACAGAGCUGGACCUUGUCUCAAAAAAAACAAACAAAAAA
ensembl:lncRNA